UGGGCGUAAAGAGCUCGUAGGUGGUUUGUCGCGUUGUUCGUGAAAUCUCACGGCUUAACUGUGAGCGUGCGGGCGAUACGGGCAGACUUGAGUACUGCAGGGGAGACUGGAAUUCCUGGUGUAGCGGUGGAAUGCGCAGAUAUCAGGAGGAACACCGGUGGCGAAGGCGGGUCUCUGGGCAGUAACUGACGCUGAGGAGCGAAAGCGUGGGGAGCGAACAGGAUUAGAUACCCUGGUAGUCCACGCCGUAAACGGUGGGUACUAGGUGUGGGUUUCCUUCCUUGGGAUCCGUGCCGUAGCUAACGCAUUAAGUACCCCGCCUGGGGAGUACGGCCGCAAGGCUAAAACUCAAAGAAAUUGACGGGGGCCCGCACAAGCGGCGGAGCAUGUGGAUUAAUUCGAUGCAACGCGAAGAACCUUACCUGGGUUUGACACGCACAGGACGCCGGCAGAGAUGUCGGUUCCCUUGUGGCCUGUGUGCAGGUGGUGCAUGGCUGUCGUCAGCUCGUGUCGUGAGAUGUUGGGUUAAGUCCCGCAACGAGCGCAACCUUGUCUCAUGUUGCCAGCGGGUAAUGCCGGGGACUCGUGAGAGACUGCCGGGGUCAACUCGGAGGAAGGUGGGGAUGACGUCAAGUCAUCAUGCCCCUUAUGUCCAGGGCUUCACACAUGCUACAAUGGCCGGUACAAAGGGCUGCGAUGCCGCGAGGUUAAGCGAAUCCUUUUAAAGCCGGUCUCAGUUCGGAUCGGGGUCUGCAACUCGACCCCGUGAAGUCGGAGU
rnacentral:rRNA from 1 species